CAGAGAUCCACCUACCUCUGUUUCUAGAGUUCUGGGAUUAAAGCCCUGUACCACCAAGCAAGGCAGAAAGUGAUGUCUGAAUGAGAAGGACAACACUAUCAGAGAGACAUCUAUAUCACAUGGAGGCAAGCCCCUCACUAGGAUAUGGUGAAUGGGUGGUGGUAGCGCGGGCGUUAUCGCUACAGACAGCACCAGUGAAGACCAAGGAGUCAAUUUGAAACUGUCAUUUUCAUCAGGACUUCUUGUCUGUCAGAUCACUUCCCUAGAGUUCCAUUGCCAAUAUCCUUACACUGUCUUCUCCUCGUGGAGACUGGAAUUUGGGAGAGCUCAACAUCAAGCAUCUGACAUUUGGGGUUUUUAUUUUUAAGACUGUAAUUAUGAAGAAAUUUAGACUUUUGGGAUUAUAGACAUUUGGGGAUUUUAAUCUCUCAGAGUUUGAGCAACUGGAGUUACAUCAUCUGAGGUUGAAUCUUUUGGGAACAGGACCAUGCUUGCCGCAAAGGAGAGAGCCAUCUUUUUGAAGCAGCUUAGUGAUGCUCUCUCAGCAAGACAGUCCUCAUUAGAUGGCAGGAAAUCUGAUUAAAGACUCAGCACCAACCCGUAACUAUCAAAGAGAGGGUGGGUCAACAAGACACACGUGGGUAGAGGGGUAGCUGCUAAACCUGGCAGCCUGAGUCAAAUCACAGACCAAGGUGAUGGGGGAUAUUCGAUCACACUGUAAACCUCAAGUCUGCAUUUGCAUUAAUUAAAUAAAAUUAACCUUGGGUCAA